UGGGGAAUUUUACGCAAUGGGGGAAACCCUGACGUAGCGACACCGCGUGAGCGAAGAAGCCCUUUGGGGUGUAAAGCUCUGUCAGCAGGAACGAAAAAAAUGACGGUACCUGCAGAGGAAGCAUCGGCUAACUACGUGCCAGCAGCCGCGGUAAGACGUAGGAUGCGAGCGUUGUCCGGAUUUAUUGGGCGUAAAGAGUUCGUAGGUGGUUUGUUAAGUCUGAUGUUAAAGACCGAGGCUCAACUUCGGAAAUGCAUUGGAUACUGGCAGACUCGAGUGUGGUAGAGGCGAGUGGAAUUCCCAGUGUAGCGGUGAAAUGCGUAGAUAUUGGGAAGAACACCCGUGGCGCAAGCGACUCGCUGGGCCACAACUGACACUGAGGAACGAAAGCCAGGGGAGCGAAUGGGAUUAGAUACCCCCGUAGUCC
rnacentral:rRNA from 1 species